CCUCACUUCUCUGGGUUAAGGCCAUAUUCCGAUCUUGGAGUCCUCCUUCAAGACAGCACGCCAAAUAUACUUACUAUUUGCUCAAUCUUAUUAUAUGCCUUGCUGUCCUGGGAACACCUUUGUCCUCCUGUAACCGGUCAUCUCUGCUGCAGAAUGAAUAUUGACAUGCUGGCUGCUUUGCUGCUAAUUUCGUGGCCGCCGGCUGGCGUGCAGUAAUAGAGUUGUUAUUUGAGUCCAUUACAAAGGCCUGCGGAUCGAUGCGUUGCGAGGAUCCGGCUACAGCAGAGUGCCUGCGUGAGGAAAGCGAGUCCUUGAGCUCCUUCCUGACGUCUGUUUCUCCUCUUCUCUCACGGAGUCACACUUUCUGUGUGCGCCGGCCAGCCGGAAAGAUGAUUUUUACUGUAUCUGCAGAGGUGGACCAUAAUGAAGUACAGUUACUUGAGUACUGUACUUAUACUUAUCAGUAAUCACUCUUCUAGGGUUACAUAAAGUGAUUCCCAGCAUUUUUUGAACACUGACCAGUUGCAAAUGUGAUAUUUAUUUACAAGAAUUCAAUGAUAAGAAGUUAAUAUUGUGGUAUAUAUUAGAGGUAAUAUUGUAUUGAUUUUGCAAAAUUGUGUAGGCUAUACAAAAAUAUUACCUGUAAAGCCACAGAAGAACUGUGUCUCCUAACAAAACACAAGAGGAGUUUGACUUGAAGACGGUUGUAUGUCACUACACGUAGGGCCUUGCGAUACACAGAAUCCAGUCAUAAAACAGAAUUUUCUGUAUAGAAUGUCAGAGAAUUUGGCAAACUAUGGUUGAAUAAAUCAAAAGUAGAGAU
ensembl:lncRNA